rnacentral:rRNA from 1 species
GAUGAACGCUGGCGGCGUGCCUAAUACAUGCAAGUCGAGCGAAUGGAUUAAGAGCUUGCUCUUAUGAAGUUAGCGGCGGACGGGUGAGUAACACGUGGGUAACCUGCCCAUAAGACUGGGAUAACUCCGGGAAACCGGGGCUAAUACCGGAUAACAUUUUGAACCGCAUGGUUCGAAAUUGAAAGGCGGCGUCGGCUGUCACUUAUGGAUGGACCCGCGUCGCAUUGGCUAGUUGGUGAGGUAACGGAUCACCAAGGAAACGAUGCGUAGCCGACCUGAGAGGGUGAUCGGCCACACUGGGACUGAGACACGGCCCAGACUCCUACGGGAGGCAGCAGUAGGGAAUCUUCCGCAAUGGACGAAAGUCUGACGGAGCAACGCCGCGUGAGUGAUGAAGGCUUUCGGGUCGUAAAACUCUGUUGUUAGGGAAGAACAAGUGCUAGUUGAAUAAGCUGGCACCUUGACGGUACCUAACCAGAAAGCCACGGCUAACUACGUGCCAGCCGCCGCGGUAA